GAUGAAGAACGUAGCAAAAUGCGAUAAGUAAUGUGAAUUGCAGAAUUCAGUGAAUCAUCGAAUCUUUGAACGCACAUUGCGCCCGCCAGUAUUCUGGCGGGCAUGCCUGUUCGAGCGUCAUUUCAACCCUCAAGCCCUCGGGUUUGGUGUUGGGGAUCGGCGAGCUUUUCUGGCAAGCCGGCCCCGAAAUCUAGUGGCGGUCUCGCUGCAGCCUCCAUUGCGUAGUAGUAAAACCCUCGCAACUGGAACGCGGCGCGGCCAAGCCGUUAAACCCCCAACUUCUGAAUGUUGACCUCGGAUCAGGUAGGAAUACCCGCUGAACUUAAGCAUAUCAAUAAGCGGAGGA
rnacentral:misc_RNA from 1 species